AUGCUCACUUCAGCACCACAUGUACUAAAAUUAGAAUGAUACAGAGAUUAGCAUGGCCCCUGCACAAUGAUGAUACACAAAUUUGUGAAGUGUUCCGCAGUUUU